UUCAUUGAUUUGGUUCCUCAACUCCUUCAUCUGUACACGACUCAUGCGGUAAGGGAAAACCAAAAUUAGUUGGGUGUCUGGCUGAAGAUAUAUGGUAAAUUCAACUUCCAUAUCCACUGGCAGUCCGGGUAGUUCAUACGGUAAUACAUCCGAGAAGUCUCGAACUACCAAAAUCUCUCAAAUACAAAUUUUUUUCUUAGGUUUGCCUAGUUAGAGAAAACAGCUGAGUUAAAGCACUUGAUAAUAGG
rnacentral:lncRNA from 1 species